CAAGAACUACGACUAUAUCGACCACAACAUCGGGGAAUCAGGCAGCACACUCUUCAUCAACGUCACGCAUGCCUAAUAAUUCAACUCAAGAUAAUACAGAGACUGGUGGCAUCGAUGACGCUCUUCUCAUCACCUUGUUCUUAGUGACCGUCGUCGUCAUUGUCAUCGUUAUAUGUAUAACAGCAGUUAUCAUCACUCUCAUCAGGAGACAAAGGACCAGGAACUCGAAGGACAAUCUUCCAGAACCUCGCUACGCCAGCUUUGUGCCUCCAGAUGAAGCAGAGGGCUACCG